rnacentral:rRNA from 1 species
GAUGAACGCUAGCGGGAGGCUUAACACAUGCAAGCCGAGGGAGAUAAUAUGACUUGUCAUAUUUGACACCGGCGGACGGGUGAGUAACAUGUAUGCAACUUGCCUCUAUCAGUGGGAUAACCCGGGGAAACUCGGACUAAUACCGCAUAAUAACCUAAUCAACCUUGAUUAAGUUUAAAAGAUUUAUCGGAUAGAGAUAGGCAUGCGUAGGAUUAGUUAGUUGGUGAGGUAACGGCUCACCAAGACAACGAUCAGUAGCCGGCCUGAGAGGGUGAACGGCCACAUUGGGACUGAGACACGGCCCAA